rnacentral:lncRNA from 10 species
CUCCCAUAUUUGGUCAUUUUAGUGGGAUGGCAUAGACAUUUUGCUUACUGCUAAGGGGAAAAUAAAGACAUUUUACUUGGUCUGUGGAGGGUUUGAUUUCCCCAAGACUUUUUUCCCCCCUCCUUUUAUUCUUUUUUUUUUGGGUAUAAUUCUCUGUGCACUGAAGACAUUCUGUUCUGCACUCGAGUAUUAGUUAAGAAACAAUCUAGUCUGCUAUAAUAAGAAACCCACAAUGCAAUGACUUAAAUAAGGAAGAAAUUCAUAUCAUUCUCAUGGAACAAUCUAAGGAGCCCUGAAUAUCAAGAAGCUCAGCUAUGCUGGGACUGAGGCUCCUUCCUUCUCAAUAUCUGAAAUUCUGAAGGCAAUACUCUUGUCCUAAAGGUAAUGUGUACGGUGAAGUUAACCUCAAUGUGACGUACCAAGGGCAUGUGAAAUCACAAGGAGAAAGUGCAGUAUUUACUGUGUGAGCAGCUAUUCCAGUCAAUGACAUUUCAGCUGGUGCCUCUGUACUCUAAAAAACACCUGGAAAGGACACGCCAGAAAGAAGAAGCCACUAAACAGGAAAAGGUCAUGAGAGAUGAGAAGAUGAUCAAGGGAAAAGGAUAUAGGAUGAAGAUACACAAGUUCGGGUGGGGAGGAGAAGAAGAAAAGGAAGAGGAUAAUUGGAAGGAAAUAUCUUUCUCUACCCCUGACCAAAUUGACUGGUUUGAGUUUGUUGCCUGAUGUAAGCAGCAUCAAUGAGCCCAAGGCUGUGGUACAUAAAGCCCACAAACUACAUGGAUUGUGAUAUUCAUCCAGACUGGAGAAGAAUAAAGCUGCCAUUUUAGGCCAAAAGAGAGGAGAACAAGGUGACUAAGAUGUUCAAGGAACUAUUUCUUAUUGUUUCUGAGGCUCAGAUGACCCCAUGAUCUCUGUUAUUUGGGUAGACCAUAAAAUAAUCUAGUGUCCUUUCAUUGAUUU